rnacentral:rRNA from 1 species
GCAGCAGUAGGGAAUUUUCGGCAAUGGACGGAAGUCUGACCGAGCAACGCCGCGUGAAUGAUGAAGUAUUUCGGUAUGUAAAGUUCUUUUAUUUGGGAAGAAAAAACAAAUUGACGGUACCAAAUGAAUAAGCCCCGGCUAACUACGUGCCAGCAGCCGCGGUAAUACGUAGGGGGCAAGCGUUAUCCGGAAUUAUUGGGCGUAAAGGGUGCGUAGGCGGGUUAUCAAGUCUUUGGUUAAAAUGCGGUGCUCAACGCCGUAGUGCCAAAGAAACUGAUAGUCUAGAGUAUGGUAGAAGUGAGUGGAACUCCAUGUGUAGCGGUAAAAUGCGUAAAUAUAUGGAAGAACACCAGUGGCGAAGGCGGCUCACUAGGCCAAUACUGACGCUGAGACACGAAAGCGUGGGGAGCAAACAGGAUUAGAUACCCUGGUAGUCCACGCCCUAAACGAUGAGUACUAAGUGUAGCCAGAAGGCUGUGCUGAAGUUAACGCAUUAAGUACUCCGCCUGAGUAGUACGUACGCAAGUAUGAAACUUAAAGGAAUUGACGGGAUCCCGCACAAGCGGUGGAGCAUGUUGUUUAAUUCGACGAUACGCGAAGAACCUUACCAGGUCUUGACAUACUCGGCAAAUCUAUAGAGAUAUAGAGGAGGUUAACCGGGAUACAGGUGGUGCAUGGUUGUCGUCAGCUCGUGUCGUGAGAUGUUAGGUUAAGUCCUGCAACGAGCGCAACCCUUAUUGCUAGUUACCAUCAUUAAGUUGGGGACUCUAGCGAGACUGCCGGUGAUAAACCGGAGGAAGGCGGGGAUGACGUCAAAUCAUCAUGCCCUUUAUGACCUGGGCUACAAACGUGCUACAAUGGCUGACACAAAGAGAAGCGAGCUCGCGAGAGUAAGCAAACCUCAGAAAAGCAGUCUCAGUUCGGAUUGAAGUCUGCAACUCGACUUCAUGAAGUUGGAAUCGCUAGUAAUCGCGAAGCAGAGUGUCGCGGUGAAUACGUUCCCGGGAUUUGUACACACCGCCCGUCAA